UAAUAAAAGUGUUUUAUGGCACUUUUCAAACAAAUCCAUAUCCACCUUGUGUGCAAUGUUUUUUUUUAAAUAAACACUUUAUUUUUUAAUUGCCAAUUUAUCUGAAGAUCAGUAUUAUUAUGAAUUAACUUAAUUCAAAAUA
rnacentral:misc_RNA from 1 species